UCGUUUUUUUCAGGCGUAUGUACUUUGCAAUAGAAACAUGAGUGGUUGAUUGAGUAUUCAAAUUUCAAAUUAGUGAAAAGGAAUACGAAUAUUGCGGCCACUCCUUUUGAUAUCAUUAAGAUCAAAAGUCAGCCCAAGCUUCGCAAAAAGAAAUCAGAACUGGUACGAAGGGUCGACUUGGCAUUUUUUUAGGAAAUAUAUAGAAUCUGGCUAAAAUAUGUACAAGAUUAAAGAAUAAUCCAAUGUCUUAAAUGCGCCUCGUCUAACACCAGCAUACCGAAAGUCCCAUCCAGCUCCGCAUCACUACGUAACACACACAGCGCCAACAGAAUGUCUGAUACUAACAGCUCAGGCAGAAAUAUCACUAAUGCCCAUUGUAAACAGACCGAAACCACACAACAAAUCCCAUCAUAGUGCCCUGAUAAAUUCCUAGCUCUCCUUUUGUGAUAGCUCAAGUAAUUGCAAAGUUUAUUAUUACCGUUUGUGAAUUAGAGGCUUAGAGACAUAUCUAGUGACUUAGAAUUAUAUUCACCAUAUUGCAUCAACAGUCAGACCAGGAACCGUUUAAUACUAAGUCCGAUUGCCGAAUUCCGAUUGCCAGUAUAUAGUAGCGGUAGUUAGUUCGAAGGUACAGUGGUUCCCAAACCUAGCAGAAAGAUAGUUGCGAGAGAAUUCGAUUGCAGUGAGAUCACAAAUAGAAUUUUGUAAUUAAUCUCAUCUCGUAGAAUAAAUUACUGAAUUGGAUCUUGCUAAUUUGUCACUCCCGCAACUCC